AAGACCGGAAACCCAGUGACAACGUAGCUCAUCCACCAUGGCAGAAGAGGAAGAUCCAGACUGUCGAUUGGGAAAACAAGAACAGACAAUGAAAGUUGAGUGUUGAGGGACCACUUGUCACAUUGUCCAAGAUGGGUUUGUGUUAUGAUAAGGCAUUUUCUGUCCAGAUUGAUACAGCAUUGAAAAAGACCCACCACUGACUAAAUGUCUCUUUGUUUUUCAGUCCAACAGGAGUGCAUCCCUCAGGCCAUCUGGUGCAUGGACAUCCUGUGCCAGUGUGAUCUGAGCGCACACGUCCAGUUGUAGAGACUAGCAGAUCGAGCCUGGUGAUGGGCAGACAUGAGGCGUGACAUGCAGAACAUCAGGCUCACCCCACGAGAAGCUGUGCGUGAUCAAUUCCACCCUCAGCAAGGAGAUCUGAGGGUACUCUCACUGGGGGUACAGACAGGGGUGACUGGGUCCUUAAGCAAGUAAGACACGGGGUACUGACAGGAGGAGAAAUAGGAGUCUGUCAGAGGUUGUCAUGCUGGAUGGGGAUGGGAAGAAGACACAAAUAGGUGUUGUCAGCCAUAAAACUUUAAAGAAGAAGAAGAAGCCUAUGAGAAGAGAACACUAGACAAACAUUUGUCUUGAAGUAGAAUUACAGAAAUACUGUAUCAUUGUGGCGUUAAAUAAACUUGAAGCUGCUUCAUUGGGUAUGUUGUCUAUAUGGAUAAAACAUAUGCUUGAGUUGAUAAAUACACAGGGAUAUAAAUUCAUUUAGCAAAAAGACAUGCAAGACUACUGUAACGGCAAUCCUUUCAAACAUGUUUUUAUUAUGCUAGACUAAAUAAUUAAUAUUAGUAUCACUAAUACUCACUCAUAAUCACAGUGUUUUGUCAUGCAGGACUGUUCACAGCACAAGGCCCAAAUAAGUAAUUGUUGUGAUUUAUUUAGGCUGUUAAUGUCUCAUACUAAACACUAUUGAGGCCAUUAUAAAAAUCCGC